rnacentral:rRNA from 1 species
UACGAAGGGGGCUAGCGUUGCUCGGAAUCACUGGGCGUAAAGCGCACGUAGGCGGCUUUCUAAGUCAGGGGUGAAAUCCCGGAGCUCAACUCCGGAACUGCCUUUGAUACUGGAAAGCUUGAGUUCGGGAGAGGUGAGUGGAACUGCGAGUGUAGAGGUGAAAUUCGUAGAUAUUAGGAAGAACACCAGUGGCGAAGGCGGCUCACUGGUCCGGUACUGACGCUGAGGUGCGAAAGCGUGGGGAGCAAACAGG